rnacentral:misc_RNA from 1 species
GAUGAAGAACGUAGCGAAAUGCGAUAAGUAAUGUGAAUUGCAGAAUUCAGUGAAUCAUCGAAUCUUUGAACGCACAUUGCGCCCCCUGGUAUUCCGGGGGGCAUGCCUGUUCGAGCAUCAUUUCAACCCUCAAGCUCUGCUUGGUAUUGGGCGUCGCCGGGGAGUCUCCCCGGCGUGCCUCAAAGCCAUCGGCGGUGGUGCCUUUCUCUAAGCGUGGUAGAAUUUUUAUUCGCUUCUGAGUUGGGCUUCGCCUGCCGGACAAACCGGGCCCUCGCGGCCCACCUUCUCAGGUUGACCUCGGAUCAGGUAGGGAUACCCGCUGAACUUAAGCAUAUCAAUAAGCGGAGGA